AACCGUAAUGUAACCAAACGGAAUCUCGCCGGAGAAGUUGUUGAACGAAAGAUCGAGACGGUAAAGAGUGAAUAACGAGGGUAGGGACGCCGGAAAGUUGCCGGAGAAUUGAUUGUUGGAUAGGCUAAAGAGUGAAUAAGGAGGGUAAUUAUUUGGGUUUUUUAAUUAAGAAAAUGUUUUAAUGAAAAGUAAAUGGACAAAACUACCCCUGCACAAAAAGACAAAAAAAAACAUGUUGGAACAGUAAAAAAUGAGACUUUUUGAGAUUUGGACUAAAAUGGCAACAAAAUGCAAACCACAGGGACCCAGAUUUAAAAAGUUUGAGAUUUGGACUAAAAUGGCAAAACUGCCCAAACCACAGGGACCAAAAUAGCAGUUUACUCUAAUUAAAAUUAAAAUCUACUACUUCUAAUAAAACAAAACCAACUUAUGCCACAUGGCAUUUGCUUAGGCCACUUAAUGCCACGUGGCAUCCUAAUACUCCCUAAUGAAAAAAAUUGAGCGCUAAAACUAGAAGUGUCCUCCGCUCUUUUUCUUAGCCAGCUACACAAUCAAUUGCAUUGAUUUGGAGUUUCCUUUUUGAUUCUCCCAUUAUUGAAAGUUGUUACAAUCACGAACCCUAAAUCCAGAAUUAACACACACCUUUCUUUUCAUCCUUUGCCUCCUUACAGUUUUCUCUCUUUGAAAAACCCUAGAUCUCAUCUCUUUACAAUCAAAAGUAACCUGGUAAGUUUGUUUUGAUUUGUAAUCUGUAACCUGAUUCAUAUAAUUUUUGGCUGUAUGGGUUUCCAUACGGUGCAACUUGGUUGGAAUUGAUUGUUUUUUGUUGAGGCUUGAUCUAGGGCUCGAUAGAUGAUUCUUUUUUCUUCAUUCGAUCAAAACAGGAGAUUUUCGGUAAGUUUACAUCAUCCUCUUUGAUUAAUUUUGAUUUCGAUUGGUUGAAAUUACAGAAAACUUCAAACGGAGCUCGCCGGAGAGUUGGCCGGAGGAGUGACGGUGGUGGUCGGAGUAAAGCUAGAUGAGCAUAGCAGGGUGAGGAACUUGAAAGCAUUGCAGACUUUGGUUCCAAAUUCUAACAAGAUUGAUAAGGCUUCAAUGUUGGAUGAAACUAUUGAGUAUCUGAAGCAGCUUCAACUGAAAGUACAGCUGCUUAGGGUUUUGGGAAAGAACUGAACUUCUGUUUCAUCAAGCAACCUUGUGACCAGACUCCAUUCAUUUUUCAAUUUGCGCAUGUGAUAUAGGCGUAUACUCUGUUAAGGGUUUAAUGUGAAAAUUUGGGCAGUUUGAUUCAUUUAUCUUCAAGUGUAUGCAGCUCCAGGCUCAAAAUCGUUUCAACUACUUGAAAUGAUACACCAAGCACCGAAAGUGGGAUCUUUACCAAGUGGAAUGGUUAUGUUUUUCUCUCUGAUGAUUGAUCUUUAGUACAUUUAGUUUAUGUAAUACGUAAUAAUUCUGUUUUGUAGGUUGUAACAAACGAUAUUGACUUUAAUUGGCUUACUUACCAACCAGUACUACCAUUGGACCAGUAGGUGGUUUUCACUACUUGAUUGAUGGCACCUUCUCUCAAAUCCUAAUUCCUUCUAUUCGCUCCUGAUGAGCAAUCACACCAACAAACUCAGCAGGUUGUAACAAAUGAUGUUGAUGUACAACGAUGCAAUCUUCUUUAGUACAUUAGAGUAAAUUGUUGUUUUGGUCACUGUUCUACCUUACUGAACUAAACCGAGGCUGCAAUGUGUUAUGUUUGUUGGUGCAUCUAGUGUCUGUUAACUACGUCUAUAUCGAGUCUUAUGUCUAGAUAGGAAAGAUCAGUGCACGGAAACCAAGAAAAUGUAAUUUAGUGGGUGAUUCCGCUUGAAAUGACAAUAGGUCAUUUUCAAGCGAAAUCAGAUCCUAGAUAUUCCGCUUGAACUCCACACAUGUUGAUUCCGCUUGGGAGGUUUGAAGCAAAAUCAGGAGUUCCGCUUGAACAGUUUCAAGCGGAAUCAGGCUUCCUAUAUAUAUGUGUGUGAGGUGUUCAUUUGGAGCGGAAUCUGGUCUUGUGUUUUGAGCCGAGGUGCUGUCCGUUUUUCAUUUAAACUUGUAAAAGCUCAGGAAUCCAGUAAUA